GGAGUAGCUGGUGUGAAGAGCGGUGGGAAGGCGGGUCCGACACUCCUGGCGGGGAGAUGGACGCGGUGCUCGUGGGUGCUGGAUAUUCUCGAAGCCCAGGAGGAAGCCGCUGAGCAGGAACCACGUUCCUCCCUGAGAAACGCCACGUCAUGUUGCCUUCUCACGUGUGCUUACGGGUGGCACCUUGGUGUUGGAACACAGAAACCUCUCUCCCUCAUGUGCCAAGAUUUGAGGUGAUGGUCCCCAGGCCAGCGUGUCUCCCCUGCAAAGUAUCACCACCCAGGACAACUCCACAAAGGUUCGAGAGCAGCUUGCCGUCCUCAUCUGCUGGUGGAGGCCGCUUCUGGGCAUGAAGAAGACGGUUCAGUUUCCCUGAUGCGCCCUUGGGGUGAGGUCACC